UACGUAGGGAGCAAGCGUUGUCCGGAAUCAUUGGGCGUAAAGCGCGCGUAGGUGGCCUCGUAAGUCCGCUGUGAAAGUCCAAGGCUCAACCUUGGAAAGCCGGUGGAUACUGUGAGGCUAGAGUACGGAAGAGGCGAGUGGAAUUCCUGGUGUAGCGGUGGAAUGCGCAGAUAUCAGGAGGAACACCAAUAGCGAAGGCAGCUCGCUGGGACGUUACUGACACUAAGGCGCGAAAGCGUGGGGAGCGAACAGG
rnacentral:rRNA from 1 species